rnacentral:rRNA from 1 species
CCUACGGGAGGCAGCAGUGGGGAAUAUUGCGCAAUGGGCGGAAGCCUGACGCAGCAACGCCGCGUGCGGGAGGAAGGCCUUCGGGUCGUAAACCGCUUUCAGGGGGGACGCGGUACUCCCAGAAGAAGCCCCGGCUAACUACGUGCCAGCAGCCGCGGUAAUACGUAGGGGGCGAGCGUUGUUCGGAAUCAUUGGGCGUAAAGAGCGUGUAGGUGGCUUGGAAAGUCUUACGUGAAAGCCUGCGGCUCAACCGCAGAAGUGCGUGGGAAACUUCCUGGCUAGAGUACGGAAGAGGAGAGCGGAAUUCCUGGUGUAGCGGUGGAAUGCGCAGAUAUCAGGAGGAACACCCGUGGCGAAGGCGGCUCUCUGGGACGGACUGACACUGAGACGCGAAAGCGUGGGGAGCGAACAGGAUUAGAUACCCUUGUAGUG